rnacentral:rRNA from 1 species
UAGGGAAUCUUCCGCAAUGGGCGAAAGCCUGACGGAGCAACGCCGCGUGAGUGAUGAAGGUCUUCGGAUCGUAAAACUCUGUUAUUAGGGAAGAACAAAUGUGUAAGUAACUAUGCACGUCUUGACGGUACCUAAUCAGAAAGCCACGGCUAACUACGUGCCAGCAGCCGCGGUAAUACGUAGGUGGCAAGCGUUAUCCGGAAUUAUUGGGCGUAAAGCGCGCGUAGGCGGUUUUUUAAGUCUGAUGUGAAAGCCCACGGCUCAACCGUGGAGGGUCAUUGGAAACUGGAAAACUUGAGUGCAGAAGAGGAAAUUGGAAUUCCAUGUGUAGCGGUGAAAUGCGCAGAGAUAUGGAGGAACACCAGUGGCGAAGGCGACUUUCUGGUCUGUAACUGACGCUGAUGUGCGAAAGCGUGGGGAUCAAACAGG